UUUCUGCUCUUUUGAGACCUCACCACACCAUGCGCCACCCGAUCCUGAGUUUCUUAAAUAUUCCGACUUCGUCACCGGAGACGACGAAGUUAAACAUAAGCACCAAUUCCACGACGUUUUAACCUAAGCGAACAAGGCAAAUCAAAACUGAAAACCACGUCGUUUUGAUUUGCUUGAAAGGGGAAAAAUAGAAUUUGCAGUUAAAAAUGGAGUUCCCGUUAACUUUUCGGGCUGCGAACCCGGCGACGAUGACGUUUUUGGGGAGUAAAUGUGGAGUUAGCUUGUAUGACGUGGCGGGGUUGAGUAUGAAGGAGAAGAAGAGCAGGAAGAAGAUGAAGCAGCUGGUGGAGGUGGUGAGAGUGAGUGCCACGGCGGAGAGGGGCAGCGGCCGGGAGGCGGUUGACGGUGGUGGAGCUGAACGAGAAAGCAGUAGCGGUGGUGGGUACACGAGCUCAGCUAUGGAGGUGACCACAUUCAAUCAAAGGUUUAGAAGUGUUGAAACUGAAUUUCCAGUUUGGGAAAAGAUUGGAGCUGUCGUUAGACUCAGCUACGGAAUCGGAAUAUAUGUCGCAAUGGCUUUGGCGGGAAGGUUCAUAUGCUCCAUGACUGGGAUUGAUAGCUCGGGAGGUUUUGAUCCAUCCCUAGAUGCCAUCGUUGAGGGACUGGGAUAUGCAGCUCCUCCAAUUAUGGCGCUUCUUUUUAUUCUUGAUGAUGAGGUUGUAAAAUUAUCUCCUCAUGCUCGUGCAAUAAGGGAUGUUGAGGAUGAAGAACUAAGGAGCUUCUUUUAUGGCAUGUCUCCGUGGCAGUUUAUAUUGAUUGUGGCUGCAAGCUCUGUUGGGGAGGAGCUUUUCUACCGUGCUGCUGUCCAGGGAGCAUUAGCCGACAUAUUCCUGAGAAGCACUGAUUUGGUGACAGAUGCUCGUGGGAUGGCAUCUAUGACUGGUUUCCUGCCGCCAUUUGUCCCAUUUGCUCAGGUGUUUGCUGCUGUUGUAACUGCUGCUCUUACCGGUUCUCUGUAUUAUGUUGCUGCCUCUCCGAAAGAUCCUACGUAUGUUGUUGCACCAGUAUUACAAUCUCGUUCUCGGCGUGAAGAUCUGAAGAAGCUGUUUGCAGUAAAACAGCUAUUUCCAAUACAUGUUGCGUGGGAAUCAUAUAUGGCAAUCAAUAGGAGGAGGAAACAAUUAGAAUUUCCGGUGACUGCCUAUUCCAAACAGAAAAUGUGUUUCUACAGAUAAGCUUGAUUAGCAUGAUGAUGUUCUUUAUCAACUUCUUCAAUAGAAGUAUGUUCAUCUUAAACUCGAUCAUCUUUAUGAGCCAUAUACACUCUUUUGAUCAGCAUGUAGUACUAUAUCAUUUGUAUGCACUCAGGAGCCUCUUCCCUGCCCUUUCAAAAAUGUGUACCUACAUUCUGGAGGUUGCAAAAUGUUGCUAAGGAGCAACGAGGAAAACUGAAGUUCACAGCAUAUUUUGCCUGCCUAAAACCAUUAUCCAUUGUCAGCUGUUUAUCUUGUAUCAUCAACACGCUAGUUACAAUUGCAAUCUGACUAUGGUGCAUAUGGAACAGCCUGGUAUGAGAGGAGGCAAAUGAAAAAGAUUUAUUCGCCCUUGCUGGAAGCAAUUCUAGCCCUUUACCUUGGAUUUGAAUGGAUCCAGACAAACAACAUCUUCGCUCCAAUCCUCACACAUGGCAUUUACUCUGCCGUUGUUUUGGGACAUGGCCUUUGGAAAAUACAUGAUCAUCGGCGAAGACUACGCCAGAGAGUUCAACAGCUGAAAUUGGAAGAGAAGAGCACGAGAA